rnacentral:rRNA from 1 species
CCUACGGGAGACAGCAGUGAGGAAUAUUGGUCAAUGGACGUGAGCCUGAACCAGCCAAGUCGCGUGAAGGAUGAAGGUUCUAUGGAUCGUAAACCUCUUUUAUAAGGGAAUAAAGUUCAGGACGUGUCCCGUUUUGUAUGUACCUUAUGAAUAAGGAUCGGCUAACUCCGUGCCAGCAGCCGCGGUAAUACGGAGGAUCCGAGCGUUAUCCGGAUUUAUUGGGUUUAAAGGGUGCGUAGGCGGACGUUUAAGUCAGCUGUGAAAGUCUGUGGCUCAACCAUAGAAUUGCCGUUGAAACUGGGUGGCUUGAGUAUGUCUGAGGCAGGCGGAAUGCGUGGUGUAGCGGUGAAAUGCUUAGAUAUCACGCAGAACCCCGAUUGCGAAGGCAGCCUGCUAAGCCAUGACUGACGCUGAUGCACGAAAGCGUGGGGAUCAAACAGGAUUAGAUACCCUUGUAGUC